UUUACAGCAUUAAAUGGAUACUUAAGCAUUAAAAUUUUAAAUGGGCGUUUUUUAACGAAAUAUUGUAAGGAGCAGACAAUUGUGUUUAGAUUUACAAUUCCCCAUAAAAUCAGAAAACUGAUUUUCAACUAAUGAAAAAUUGUUUGAAAUUACUUUAAGCAAAAAAUUUGGUGAAUUGAAUCAUCUAAGUAACCAAAAUACAAAAAUCAAACGAGGUGCUGCUAGUAGUGGCGAGCGAACGCAGCAAAAAGACUCAAAAAUUGAUAAAUUUAUUUAAUAUUUAUAAUAGCCGUAGCAAGGUGGCCUGAUAAUAGGACAGCCCUGUAAAAUAAAGUUUAAAUUUUUAUUUAGUAAAAUGAACUAAGUCAUAGUUUGUUUGAAUACUGUGGGACCACCCACAAAGUCUACAAAUUUUAAUGACUAAUAGUGAACAGUACCGUGAGGGAAAAGUGAAAAAGACUUUGUGAAAGUGAAAAGACUUUGAAAUUUAAUGCUAACAAUCUGUUGGAGUUUUCAAAAUGACGACGUACCUUUUGUAUAAUGGACCAACAAGUUUAUUUCAAAGGCGAGCUUAAGUAAUUGUACGUAGGCGUAAAGAAAUUAAGUUUUAAAAGGCUUUUAGUCUUUGGAAUAAGACCCGAAACUAAGUGAUCUAGUCAUGAACUGGUUGAAGUUUAGGCGGAAACGCUUUUCGGAGGACCGAACCCGUGUAUGUGGAAAAAUACUGGGAUGAUUUGUGAUUAGGGGUGAAAGGCCAAUCAAACUUAGAGAUAGCUGGUUUUCUGCGAAAUCUAUUUUAGUAGAGCGUUUAAAGAACUUUUUCAAAGGUAGAGCUCUCGGUAGAUAAAGGGGAUUUAUUGUUCUACUGAAUCUACUGAAACUUCGAAUGUUGAUUAAAAACGACUUUAAGCAGACAGACUGUGGGUGCUAAGAUUCACAGUCAAAAGGGAAACAGCCCAGAUUAUCAAUUAAGGCUCUUAAAAAUAAUUAAGUGAAAAAAUUGUGAAAAAAUGUUAACAACCGAAAAGUAGGCUUAGAAGCAGCAAUCUUUUAAAGAAAGCGUAACAGCUCAUUGGUUUAGUUUUUUUGUAUUGAAAAUGUAUUGAACUAAAAUUAUUUGCCGAUGUUGUAAAUUUAUAAGAAUUAAAUGGUAGCAGAACGUUUUGUAAAUCUAAGAAGUUUUAUAGUGAUAUAAAAGUGAAGAUAUCAAAAAUGAAAAUGUUGGUAUGAGUAACGAUAAACAGUGUGUAAAACAUUGUCGCCUUAAGUUCAAGGUUUCCAAAACAAGGUUAAUCCGUUUUGGUAUUUAAUCGGUCUCUAAGGGUAAAAACGAAAGUUUUAAUUCAAUGAGAAAAAAAUUAUUUUUUAUUUUUCAAAAGUGACAAAAUAUGAAUAUUAUUUUUAUUUUAUGGUUUAAAUAAAAGUCUUAUAAUAUUUUCUAGAAACAGCUUUUGAUAUCAAUCAACCGUACCUUAAACCGACACAGGUGAACAAGUUUAGUAAACUAAGGCGUUUGAGAGAAUUAUGUUGAAGGAACUCGGCAAAAUGACUCCGUAACUU
rnacentral:rRNA from 1 species